CACAUUAAAAAUUAUUGUCUUAAUAACUAGCCAUUACAAAAAUAAUUUGCCGUAACGGAAAGGCAAGGAAAACUUGAUAGAAUGCAUGCAUAUGGUUUGAAGCAGAGGCAGUUGCUCCAAAAAAGAUGGAUGAUUAUUUUGGCAAACUUGUGUUUAUGCAAUAAAAGCCACCUUUAAAAAUUUUCCAAUCAUUGAUUCCUGCAACAAGCUUAGACUUAAAAGAGUUAAUGUAACUGGAGAUAAAGAAGUAUGUGCAGGAUUUAAUUUCAUGACUAAAGAGGACUCCGAAGAAGAAUUAAAGUUCUGGUGGAUCAAAGAUCGAUGAAUGAUUUGGUUUUAACUGGUUUGCAUCUUAUAACCAAAGUACAUAAUAUGAUUUA